CACCGUUUCCUCUCCUUCUCUUUGUCCUUCUUCCCUUUGCUCUUGUUUGCCCUUUCCUUUUAAUAUUUUUCUCCACCUGUUGCGUGAACUUGUCUUUCAAACUUUCUUACUCCUGAUCCUUCGUCCUUCUAUCCGUACUACGCUUCUUCAAAUCUCGUUUGUGCAUUUACGUUCGAUAACUUCUCUGAAGUUUUCAUGCAACUAGAUUAUCCCCUUCUCCCGUUUUCCUUCAGGUACAUUCGGUAGCAACCGUCUUUCCUUGCUGCUUCAUCAUGUAUUAUUUAUGCCCGCUUUUAUCAAUGUCCUCACUUAUUCCUCCUUUUCAGGGUCAGUGUGAAUGCGUUAAUUUCCUCGGUGAUCUUCUUCGAACGGGACCAAUGAUACACACGACAGAACCAAAGAAGAACUAGAGAACGAAGAAGAAGAGAAGCAGACAGAAGGUCCUCCCAGACUGAUUCCGAACCCUCGAUCGUUUUUCGAACGACUGAGCCACUUCGUAUCUUAGACAGAGCCUUUUAUACCUUUCUGAGGUAGACCACCUUCCUCGUCGAUUUCUGUUACAGAAAAUCAACAUCUUCUUCAAACCAGAUCUUAUAUCUCCGUUUAACGUAUUCCUCACACUUAUCAUAUAUGAUGAACCGGUGUCGAAGAGCUUAUGGUACGUGUAGUGGAAAGGUGUUCUUGACUUUAAUUCAGAAAAGGACUUGAAAACUCAAGCUUUGGAGUUGAGGAAGUUAGAAAUUAGGUAAAUGAAGAUUUUACUAAUGAGGACUUAGAAAUGUAAAAUUUCAUAAUUUGAAAAUUUAUAACAGUUGCUGCGGAGACGGUGUGUCUUUAUUUAAUGCGGGGAAUAUCUCUUAGAAACGCAUUUGAAUUUUAAACUCUCGGAGACGGAAGAUCUAGGUAUGAAUGGUUUUGAUUAGAAGUUGUGAAAAGAAAUAAAACAUGUUAACUUCAAAUAUACUAACAAUACUGAAUGCAGCAAAAAUUAUUAUUAUAUCUAAUUUCAUUAAGAGUUGUUGGGUAAGGAAUUACACAAAGUGAUUACAUAAUUAAUUAUUUUAUUACAAAAUUUACAUGUAAAAUGUAAAAAAAAAUCGUUGAAAAUAUUCUUCUCUCGUUAGUCAUUAAUGUUUACACCAUUUACAUUAAGACAGAUAGAAGUCAAACGAAACUGAAGGACAGAUAUUCACUCGCACACACGGACUACUUAAAUGCAAACGAACGAAAUGCAUUACAGAUUACACAGAUACAAUCAACACACGAAUUACAUUGGGCGAUACAAUACAACGAAUAAGUCUUUUUUACUCGAUCUUUUCUCAAAACAUUUUAUUCAAUACAUUCGUCAACGAUAAAAGGCAACGAAGAGUAAUCGAACAAAUAAAUCAAUUAAUUUUAAUCGUUCAUUCAUUUGUUCGAUAGGUGCCCAUAACGAAACAUCAAAUUGAACCGGUAAUCUUAAAAUUAGUUCGACCACCUGUGACCAAAUAAAUGAAUGAAUCAAACCGUACGUCAAUUCAUUCAUAUAUUACCUCGUGACACGUGUUCGGAUUUAUUGAUUCAUUCAUUCACAGAACAAUUACAUAACUUAAAACUGAAGGCACUAGGGUGAAAACCAAACAAGAA